rnacentral:misc_RNA from 1 species
GAUUCAGAGAAAAUUUUGUAGAUCACUUGGUGAAUUGUUAUUGUUGAUAGUAGUAUCUUAUUUACAUUUGGUUUCACUUUCUCGUAUUUCAAACUUAACAACUUUUAUAGUAUUAUUAUCAGCCAAUUUUUUAAUGUCUGUGAACAAGCAUUUCAAAUCUAGUGCAGUUGUAGUAGGGUUUUAAAAUUUUUAGUUGAAUUAUAUUUUUAAGAGACCAUUUAGCGGGUUUUAUUCUUUCUAAAUUUAUGUUAAAACACUAAGUUCAUGCUUCAGAUUAUACGAUAUUAUCAGUCAAACUGGUUAAUACGGUGAAAACUAUUAAAUGCCAACAACUUCAAGAGAUUCACCAGGCUUUGAUAUAAUACUUUAACUUUUAUUAAGAGAAUGCUUCUGGCUUAUAUUUACAUCUCUGAAUUUGAAUCAGGAAUGAUAAAGUUAAUCUAACAUUCAGACACAUACUCAGUUAUUUCGUCACAUCCAGUUACUGGACGUUGACAGAUAGUUGGCAGGUGGCUGAGGAUUAGAAUGUUAAUAAUGUUAUUCCUGUCUUUAAGAAGGGGUGAUAAGAGUUGCACAGUUAGUAUUCUGUAGUAUUGUUUCCAGAUUUUAAUUCAUCUUUAAUUUAGUUUUUAUUCCGGAUCAGAGAAAACUCCUGUUUAAUCUUUGAAAAAGAUUCCACUAAUUGGAGGAAGUUUUCAUUGAGAUGAGUCAUCAAAUGUGUCAAAUUAAAUCCCUGCAGUGUGGACAAGGAGCUGUAAGAUGUGUGAGAUUCAAUGCUGAUGGGAAUUACUGUCUGACAUGUGGGAGUGACAAGAGUUUGAAACUGUGGAACCCUAUAACAGAAAAACUUCUCCAGAAGUAUUCAGGCCAUGGCUAUGAAGUUCUUGAUGCACAAGGGUCAUGUGAUAAUAGUCAGAUUGUGUCUGGAGGCAUGGACAAACAUGUGUUCUUGUGGGAUGUGAUAACUGCAAAUCCAAUUCGGAAGUUUCGUGGUCAUGCUGGUAAGGUGAAUGCAGUAAAGUUUAAUGAAGAGUCUUCCAUUGUUUUAUCAGCCUCUAUUGAUGGAACAGUUAGAGCUUGGGACUGUCGUAGCCGUAGUAAAGAUCCUGUUCAGGUUAUGGAUGAAGCUACAGACAGUGUGACAUGUUUAGAUGUAUCCAGCCAAGAAAUUCUAAGUGGAUCACUAGACUGUAAAAUCCGUUGUUAUGAUUUGCGUAAAGGAGAGAUAAGAACAGAUUAUUUAGGAAAUUCCAUCACUAGUGUUUCUUUUACCAAAGACUCUCAGUGUAUACUUGCUAGCUGUUUGGACAGUACUUUAAGGUUGAUGGAUAAAGGCACAGGAGAGUUGCUCAAUGAGUACCAAGGUCACAAGAAUACAAAAUACCGUAUAGACAACUGUUUAAGUAAUGAUGACAGUAGCAUCUAUUCUGGAUCAGAAGAUGGAAUUGUUUAUUGCUGGGAUUUGAUUGAUAGAAAACUGCAUAACAAGAUUCAUCAUGAAGGCUCCAAGGUUGUUCAUUCACUAAGCUUUCAUCCAACAAAAGUUUGUUUACUGACUGCUGCAGAGGGUUGCAUUUUUCUCUGGCAAGUUUCAGAUAGUGCAUACUGUGCUUCGUAAGAAGAAGAAGAAACUCAGAUGAAGAGUAGCAGAAAGAAAGUUUGUGCUUCUGCUCAGAUCAGAACAGUUGAGAAAAUUUAAUACUAGGAUCUAGAACUGAAAAAAUUCUGAAAUUCAGAGUCCAAUAAACCAUCUUUGAAUCUUAACCUGACGACAGCUGACUGAACCCCAGAAAUGUUCAAAAGUAUCUCACCUUGAAACCAAGAAGAGGAGGUCUUGAACAACUAGUUACAAACUUGAGAAGCUGUCUACGUUCUUUCUCGUCAAACUCUUCAGCCACCUUCCAGAACAUUUGAAUUACCGGGUGAUCAGCUGUAUAUCCUCCUAACAAUAAUAAAAUAAAAUGUAUAUUAUAGUUUUA